UACGUAGGGUGCAAGCGUUGUCCGGAAUUAUUGGGCGUAAAGAGCUCGUAGGCGGUUUGUCGCGUCUGCUGGGAAAACUCAGGGCUUAACCCUGAGCCUGCAGUGGGUACGGGCAGACUAGAGUGUGGUAGGGGAGAUCGGAAUUCCUGGUGUAGCGGUGGAAUGCGCAGAUAUCAGGAGGAACACCGGUGGCGAAGGCGGAUCUCUGGGCCAUAACUGACGCUGAGGAGCGAAAGCAUGGGGAGCGAACAGG
rnacentral:rRNA from 1 species